UACGGGAGUGGCAAGCGUUAUCCGGAAUUAUUGGGCGUAAAGCGUCCGCAGGCGGCCUUUUAAGUCUGUUGUUAAAGCGUGGAGCUUAACUCCAUUUCAGCAAUGGAAACUGGAAGGCUUGAGUGUGGUAGGGGCAGAGGGAAUUCCCGGUGUAGCGGUGAAAUGCGUAAAUAUCGGGAAGAACACCAGUGGCGAAGGCGCUCUGCUGGGCCAUAACUGACGCUCAUGGACGAAAGCCAGGGGAGCGAAAGGGAUUAAAUACCCCUGUAGUCCUGGCCGUAAACGAUGAACACUAGGUGUCGGGGGAAUCGACCCCCUCGGUGUCGUAGCCAACGCGUUAAGUGUUCCGCCUGGGGAGUACGCACGCAAGUGUGAAACUCAAAGGAAUUGACGGGGGCCCGCACAAGCGGUGGAGUAUGUGGUUUAAUUCGAUGCAACGCGAAGAACCUUACCAGGGUUUGACAUCCUGCGAAUCCCUUGGAAACGAGGGAGUGCCUUCGGGAGCGCAGUGACAGGUGGUGCAUGGCUGUCGUCAGCUCGUGUCGUGAGAUGUUGGGUUAAGUCCCGCAACGAGCGCAACCCACGUCGUUAGUUGCCAGCAUUCAGUUGGGCACUCUAGCGAGACCGCCGGUGAUAAACCGGAGGAAGGUGUGGAUGACGUCAAGUCAUCAUGCCCCUUACAUCCUGGGCUACACACGUACUACAAUGCUACGGACAAAGGGCAGCAAACUCGCGAGAGCUAGCAAAUCCCAUAAACCGUGGCUCAGUUCAGAUCGUAGGCUGCAACUCGCCUACGUGAAGGAGGAAUCGCUAGUAAUCGCAGGUCAGCAUACUGCGGUGAAUACGUUCCCGGGCCU
rnacentral:rRNA from 1 species